UGGGUUGGCUCAAUGGCCUGCCUGAAAUUCUAGUUUCACAAGGCAAAUACAGGGGAUCCCCAGAACAAGGUGGCUAGUGAAAGUAACUGUAUUGGUGAGCUCUGGAUUUGAUUGACAGACACUGCUUUGUUGUAUAACAUGGAAGAGCAUUCAAAGAUCAUUUCCAGUGUCUACUUUGGGCCUCCACAUGCACAAAUGCAUGUCCACAAAUAUGCAAACACACAGACACACAAAUGGAAAAGGAAAAAGAAAUGACUAGACCAACCUUCCCACUUUCUUCCAUGUUCUCUGCCAAAUCAGAGGCUAAGGGGAAAGGCUGCGUUCACAUGACGUUUUCCCAAUACAAUCAUUCCCUGGUACAGGCACGUUUUUCCUGAGAAAACAGCUGGAUCUUUAUUGCCUUCCGUAUCACUCAUAAGAAAGAUCAUGCUAUUGAUUCUACAGCUUGCUAUGACCUACUCCAUGCAUGUUCUCGUAAUCAGCCAUCCUUGGAGCAUCUCUGCACUCAGGUGGUAAACACCAUUCACCAUGCCAUGUAGGGUUACAGUCAUUAUAGUGGUUUCUCCAUCCCCCAAAGAUGUGUAAUGUGCCCUUGGUUGCAAGUCUUACCCACCAUUACAGGGGAUACAUAAUUACCAUUACAGUGGAAAGGGACAGAAUCCCUUGGGGAAAGGUGGCCAUAUCAGGACUGCGCUCAUGGAUGUGCUACUACCACAUGGAUCACUUUCACUGACAAACAGAGAAAAAGAGCUCCCCACCUUAUAAACCCAUGUAUUCCUCACCCCUGUGACUUCAUUUGAACCUAACGACACACAAAGGACCUAGUUCAAAUAUUACCAAACUGGGGUUUGAGCUUCAUCGUGUGUAUUUGAAGGAUAAUAGAGACAGACCCAAAUAAAUGAGCCAUCAUGUUGAUCUCUGAACUAAAUACUAGCUUAUGAUCUUCUUGUUAGGAUCAGCAACAAUGUUCAUGACAGAAAGCGAGCCGGUGAGAGAGCAGUACACAAGACAAGUAAAUUUCCAUUGGAAAUGAGUUUAAGUUCACUCACUUCCAACGGAAAGAGGUGUUUUGGAGAACACAUGGUUCCAAAGAUUGAAGUGGAUGUAGAGAAAGAUGCUGGUUUGCUAAAGGCAGGAAGGAGUAUUAGAUAGAAGAUGAUAUGAGUUUGUGUAAUCUGACCUACAACUCGCCUACAUCUGUGUCCCAGGAGUUUAUCCACCAUCAAUCAAAAAGGUCAGUGUAUCUUCUGGAUAAGGUUUCUAAGCUAGCUGUUAUCUUUAAGAUCUCUACCAAAAUAUUAGUGCCUCCCAGGAAAGUAAUGCUUCCUUUGCUCAAACUAGAAACACAUAUUGGAACUGCUAUCAAAUUAUUUGGUGGGGGUAAAGGUUCCAGUUGAAAGGAAACAUAUUUCUUCAGGAACAGAGGGCUGAAGAAUUGUGUUUUGAUUGACAAGAUAAUGAUCCUGUUAGUAGUGUUCAGAAUUAGCCAAAUCAUGUGAAUUUCUCAUAAAUCUGCCAAAUGCAACAGAGCAAACCCAGAGAGGCGGGAGGAUGCACCAUUUGAUAACCAUGUUAUCAUUCAGGAACUCUGGUUGGGCCGCAUUCCACCCUCAUAUAUUCAUGCACACAGCCCUUGCUAUGAAUUGCACAUGUGCUUUAAGGUUGUACAGCAGAUUUAGAUUUGGAGGGUUUUUUUUCUGUAUUUUUUUCUGCUCUAAAACUUAUCUUUUAAAAUGUUUUGGAAGCAAUUUAGAAAUGCUAUUGAAUUCCUAACCCACUCCUAAGUUUUGGAAUACUUGUAGCUAUUUUUUUUUUCUUCUUCCUGGCUCAAAACCAUCAAAUUGCAAUGGGAUUGUCAGGGUAUCAUCCUGAGAGACAAGAAGACACUGCUCACUUUAUUGCUAACCACAGUGAUAUAUUUACCUUUACAUCAAGUCAUUUAACAUAUCCUUAAAAGGUAGAAAACAGACUUUUGUGUGAAGGGAAUGAGUUAUCCUGGAUAACUGCUGGAGUGUUGCUACAUAUAUCAGAGAAUUGGUUGGUUAGUUUUAAUCAAAGCGCCAUUUGAGAAUUUAAGAACCAGGUGGUGUCUUUGAGUCAUUAUUAGGUAAAUGGAUUUAAAUACCUAAUCCCAACCAUUUAUUCCAAAAGUUGGCAAUCACAAAAACUUUGCUUUUUAAAUAGUCAGUGGUCACUUGGGAGCUUGAGCUAGGGAAAAAUGAGCUUUAAAUGUUGAUUUCAGUUACUUCCCAAAUUAUGCUGGAUUUGGUGGCUAAUGACUUUAAAUUUGCUUACACUGGCACUUCCUCAGCCCACGAGACAUAAUCCCUGGCCUGAACUCAAAGUCAUGUCCCUGUGAAGAAGGACAGUUACCAGGCAAAGCUGAUAGAGAUCUAGCUAAGAACCAAGUGUUGUUCCUCCAAAAUUGAGGGGUGAAAUAGUUACGUUGUUUCCAGAAACAUUCAUUAUAACUAAACCUAAAAUACCUGAAAUUUAUAUAUUUGUUUGCGAAUACAGAGAGGUAUAGAGAGACAUGGGGUUAGGGGAGAGACGAGAGGGAAGAAAAAGGGUACAAAAACAAACAAACAAACAAACAAACAAACAGAACC
rnacentral:lncRNA from 1 species